AACGAACGCUGGCGGCAGGCUUAACACAUGCAAGUCGAGCGCCCCGCAAGGGGAGCGGCAGACGGGUGAGUAACGCGUGGGAACGUACCCUUUGCUACGGAAUAGUUCCGGGAAACUGGAAUUAAUACCGUAUGUGCCCUACGGGGGAAAGAUUUAUCGGCAAAGGAUCGGCCCGCGUUGGAUUAGCUAGUUGGUGGGGUACUGGCCUACCAAGGCGACGAUCCAUAGCUGGUCUGAGAGGAUGAUCAGCCACAUUGGGACUGAGACACGGCCCGAACUCCUACGGGAGGCAGCAGUGGGGAAUAUUGGACAAUGGGCGCAAGCCUGAUCCAGCCAUGCCGCGUGAGUGAUGAAGGCCUUAGGGUUGUAAAGCUCUUUCACCGGAGAAGAUAAUGACGGUAUCCGGAGAAGAAGCCCCGGCUAACUUCGUGCCAGCCGCCGCCGUAACAC
rnacentral:rRNA from 1 species